GAGAGAGAAUGAAAGACAGACAGAGAGGUAGAGAGAGACAGACAGAUAGAGAGAGACAGAGAGAGAGAGAAUGAAAGACAGAGAGAGGUAGAGAGAGACAGACAGAUAGAUAGAGACAGAGAGAGAGAGAAUGAAAGACAGACAGAGGUAGAGAGAGACAGACAGAUAGAUAGAGACAGAGAGAGAGAGAAUGAAAGACAGAGAGAGAGGUAGAGAGAGACAGACAGAUAGAGAGAGACAGAGAGAGAGAGAAUGAAAGACAGAGAGAGAGGUAGAGAGAGACAGACAGAUAGAGAGAGACAGAGAGAGAGAAUGAAAGACAGAGAGAGGUAGAGAGAGAGAGACAGACAGAUAGAGAGAGACAGAGAGAGAGAAUGAAGACAGAGAGAGAUUUACUAGUUAUUUUAAUGGUCUUGUAA
ensembl:lncRNA